CAGUCGAACGAUGAACCAGGUGCUUGCACUUGGGGAUUAGUGGCGAACGGGUGAGUAACACGUGAGUAACCUGCCCCUGACUCUGGGAUAAGCCCGGGAAACUGGGUCUAAUACCGGAUAUGACUGUCCACUGCAUGGUGGGUGGUUGAAAGAUUUAUCGGUGAGGGAUGGACUCGCGGCCUAUCAGCUUGUUGGUGAGGUAAUGGCUCACCAAGGCGACGACGGGUAGCCGGCCUGAGAGGGUGACCGGCCACACUGGGACUGAGACACGGCCCAGACUCCUACGGGAGGCAGCAGUGGGGAAUAUUGCACAAUGGGCGAAAGCCUGAUGCAGCGACGCCGCGUGAGGGAUGACGGCCUUCGGGUUGUAAACCUCUUUCAGUAGGGAAGAAGCGAAAGUGACGGUACCUGCAGAAGAAGCGCCGGCUAACUACGU
rnacentral:rRNA from 1 species